AGGGGGAGUGCAGCAUCCUGGGCUGUGUCCCCUGGCGCCCUGGGAUCUGGGGCCUGUGCUGCUGGAAUUGCACUCCUGGGGCCACAGCUCCCA
rnacentral:pre_miRNA from 1 species